AAUUCCUUGGGUAGAAAGAGACACCUUUUGAAGGCUCUCUGGGGCUAACCGUAUAGGCUCUUACACAUAAAGGCUAUGUACAGACAUUCAAAAAACCUGAGGUGGAAUUGAUCUCAGUUACACAGUUUUUUGUAAGCUGCAUAGGGCUUAUGGGAGGCUGCUCAGA